CUUCGCAGGGAAGGGCCCCACCUCUGGGUUUAGUGGGGAGGACACUGGGGACACCAGCAGCUGAACAGCUUCAAGGGGAAGGGAAGGCAGACCCGGCCUUUGACCUCUCCUUGGUUCUUGUACCCUGGGGACUGGCCUCACUCUGCACAUGGUGGGAUACUCUACAACUCAUGAUUCAUCUCUAAGAGGAUGUGGUCAGUGAAGUUCCGUUUCUAGUGGUCACAAGUUCACAUGGCCUCAACCUUUCAUGGGGCAACUGACUCCAGGGAUUGGUAUUAAAUCAGCAGUCAACCUCACCUGUGUGAGGUUAUGGGAAAAAUGGACCCACACACCUCACCUUUCUAGGCUGGCCGUGAUCACCUGGCAAAGUUACUUAAGUACCUGACAAGUGCAAUAUAACUCACCUGAAUUUAGGAUUUUCAACUGUA